CAGGAUGCCAGGGAUGAUGGGAAGCCUGGACUUGUUUAUCGUGUUUGUUCGGAACUUCACCCGCGGUACAGUACGGCCUGAGCAUUUUGUUCCAGCACCGGUGUGAGGAAAACAUCUGAGCCCAUGAAUUGCCAGAUCCUGGAUACCAGAGACACAUCGUCUUGCUUCUCAGGUUUGGAGUACAUAAUGAGGAGAAAUAAAAACAAAAAGAUCUCCAGAAAGAAGCCAUGGUAAGAUUCAAGGUUUCACAGUCCAAGCUAAUGCCUGUGGACACUUGACCAAGUGAUCUGAGAAAAUUGGAUUCCUGGCAAAACAAGUGUACCUAGACUCAGGCAAGGGUGGAGCACAGAGGACGACUAGAUUAAAUGCAAAGACUGCCCAGGCAUCCCAGUGCCCCCCAUUGACGUUCCAGAACUUCGUCAAGACAGUGAUGAGCUACAUGUCCACCUGGAGGAGGUGUGUUGAGGUAUCCAGGACUAGCUGUGUUGGGAGUGCUGGGUUCUGAUGAUGGACCAUGCAGAAUACCUUCCAGCGCCAUGAACACUAGUCAGUCAGUAAUGCUGAACUUCUCGUUGUGCUCCAGCUCAGUUUUCUCAUGUUUGAUGAUAGUUCAGGAUCAAGCUCAGAAGCUCACAGCUGCCAGCAAGCACUCUACUACUGAACUGCACCAUCUCUCCAGCCCAUGCUUACUCUUGACUAGCCCCAAAGUAGUCAAUGGUAUGGCAAAAUAAACCUCCAUUUCAUUUAGAUUUUUAUAGUAUUUUUUGCCACUUAAAUUAUUUUAUGUAGUUGAGUAUGAUUUUUUUCCCUAAGGAAUUCUAUGUAUCUCAACUUCAAGAGUCUUCAACCUUUAUGUUAUACAUAAUUUCCUAUAGAUUUCAAAGUUGCUUUAAUAAAAAGUUUAAUGUUAAAACAGUUGUGGAUUUACAUGUAGUUAUGUGACUACAUUAUCCUUUACCUUUUUUCUCUGACAAUAUCUUCC